CAAGAACAACAACUUCAAUCUCCCAAAAUCCAACUCCAAUUGCAUCAAUCCAAAUAUUUUUUUGAUAUCAAAGUUUUAGUAGAUUGAAGAAGGAGGAGAGUAGAUUGAAGAAGGAGGAGUAGAUUGAAGAAGAGGCUUGGAUUAUGCUCGGAUGGAUUUACUCCCUAUGUCCAAGGGUCGGGAACCGCAUAUUCUUGUUGGCCAGUUAUUGUAACCCCUUACAACCUCCCUCCUGAGAUGUGCAUGACAAAACCAUACAUGUUUUUGACGUGCGUCAUUCCAGGACCUUCGAGUCCAAAAGCAGGAAUUGAUGUGUAUUUACAACCUUUAAUUGAUGAUUUGAAGAGAUUGUGGAUUGGAGAAUGGACUUAUGAUAUAUCACGUAAAGAAAACUUUAUAAUGCGAGCUUCAUUGAUGUGGACCAUCAACGACUUUCCAGCAUAUGGCAUGUUGUCUGGUUGGGGUACGCAUGGCAAAAUGGGUUGUCCGCAUUGCAUGGGAAACAACAAAGGGUUCACGUUGGAUAAAGGUGGGAAAAGCUCGUGGUUUGACUGUCACCGAAGAUUCCUACCACGAAAUCACUCCUAUAGAAGAAACAUGACAAACUUUAAAAAAGAUGUACGAGUGAAAGAUUCGCCUCCGCCUCGAUUGUCAC